AACGAACGCUGGCGGCAGGCUUAACACAUGCAAGUCGAACGCAUCGCAAGAUGAGUGGCAGACGGGUGAGUAACGCGUGGGAACAUACCCUUUUCUACGGAAUAGCUCUGGGAAACUGGAAUUAAUACCGUAUACGCCCUACGGGGGAAAGAUUUAUCGGGGAAGGAUUGGCCCGCGUUGGAUUAGCUAGUUGGUGGGGUAAAGGCCUACCAAGGCGACGAUCCAUAGCUGGUCUGAGAGGAUGAUCAGCCACAUUGGGACUGAGACACGGCCCAAACUCCUACGGGAGGCAGCAGUGGGGAAUAUUGGACAAUGGGCGCAAGCCUGAUCCAGCCAUGCCGCGUGAGUGAUGAAGGCCUUAGGGUUGUAAAGCUCUUUCACCGAUGAAGAUAAUGACAGUAGUCGGAGAAGAAGCCCCGGCUAACUUCGUGCCAGCAGCCGCCGUAAUAC
rnacentral:rRNA from 1 species